AUUGAUUCGCCAAGAGGAUUUAUAUAGAAAAUCAUCUUUUCCUUUGGUUUGAUUAUCUGGAACACAAUAGAAUACAAAAAAGUUUUUGAAUAAAAAUUUACAAAAAAAGAAAUACAUCAAAAUCUGGCUUACUGUUAGCGUCCAAUGGAAGUUUGCAACAAUACAGCACAUAAGUAUUUCCUCCAGUGAUAGAAGCCCAGCUGGUGCCAACACUUCAGUUUUAUUCUAUUAGCAAUCAAACUUAAAAUCAUACAAUUGAUAUUUACAUAAAACGUUGUAAAUAUGUUUAUUAAUGUUAAUUAUAUAAAUAAUUU